CAAUUAAUGAUAGAAGAAAAGAAGGAUAGUAAUUCAGGAAACGAGUUCGUAUAAGCAUGCUCCUCAGCAAGCAGUUGUUAAUACUAACCCCGACACAAAGACAUCUAAUAGGAACUUCUGACUGAGGGAACAGCAGUUAUCUCUUUUGGCCUGGUGGAAAUGAAGAAGCAGAAAAAGAACAAAAGGAGCAGGAAAAGAGGCAAGGGAGGAAGCAUAUUACAAAGGCUCAGGAAGUAUGGGAUUGGAAUAUUUUUGAAGCUACCUCUGAAGACUUGGAUGAACUCACAGAUACUGUGACAUCAUAUUCAGUUUUUGUGAAGACCUGUGUGUGCCAACUAGAAAACUGUGAAUAAACAGUAACAACAAACCUUGGUUCACAGCUAAACUCAAACAGCUACGUCAUGCCAAAAAGGAAGCCUACAGAAAAGGACUUGUAUUAAUAAGGGAGAUCAAAGCAGCAAAAAAAAAAAAAGCUACUCUGAAAAGCUGAGGAAUCAGCUCUCAACAAAUGAACCAGCAAAUGUGUGGAAAACCCUUAAAGACAUCACUGGCUACAGCAAACCUCCUUUUCAUCCUGAAGGAAAUUGACAAUUUAAUUUAUUUUUAACUUUUAUAUCGUAUGUUAU